rnacentral:rRNA from 1 species
UACAGAGGGUGCAAGCGUUGUUCGGAAUUACUGGGCGUAAAGCGUGCGUAGUCGGUAUUGAGAGUCGCGGGUGAAAUCCCAGGGCUUAACCCUGGAACUGCCUGCGAGACCUCAGUACUAGAGUGUGAGAGGGGAUAGUGGAAUACCAAGUGUAGCGGUGAAAUGCGUAGAGAUUUGGUGGAACACCGGUGGCGAAGGCGGCUAUCUGGCUCACAACUGACGAUCAGGCACGAAAGCGUGGGGAGCAAACAGGG